GCCCCCGUGGCUCAAUUGGAUAGAGCAACUCCCUUCUAAGGAGUAGGUUGCAGGUUCGAUUCCUGCCGGGGGUACCA
rnacentral:tRNA from 1 species